AGCCUUCAAUUCAGUGAUGAUUGGGUGUUCAUUCAUGCCAGGUGCAUGAAACGUGCCUCCCUCAAACCUUGUUACAGUGUUGUCACAUUACCCUGUCUGAUG